UUCACAGUCCUUACACUGGCUUCGACAAUGUGGUUAUUGGUAACGGUGAAGGUUUGAUAAUUACUCAUACUGGACAACUUAACAGUCAUUCCUCUUUUUUAUUACCUGGGGCUCUAUACUGGUUUCAACAAUGUGGUUAUUGGUAACGGUGAAGGUUUGCAAUUACACAUACUGGACAACUUAACAGUUAUUCCUCUCUUUUAUUACGUGGGGCUCUCUCUGUUCCACAUAUGCGUAAAAAUUUGAUCUCGGUUGCCCAAUUAUAUCGUCACAAUAAUGUUAAUGUUGUUCUUUCUGAUACUGAUUUUCAGGUGAAGGAUCGUCGCACGUGGGCAACACUCGUUCGCAGCCCACUUAGGGGCAACACCUACUACUGGCCGGCAGCUUCCAGUCUCCCAUCUGCCCUCACGGCACAAAAGCUCUCUGCAUCAUUGUGGCAUUCUCGGUGUGGUCAUCCGUCAGCUAAAACCCUGCGUCAUUUAGUGUCGUCUAGCAGUAUAGCGUCCAGUAA
rnacentral:lncRNA from 1 species